rnacentral:rRNA from 1 species
CCUACGGGUGGCAGCAGUGAGGAAUAUUGGUCAAUGGGCGCGAGCCUGAACCAGCCAAGUAGCGUGAAGGAUGACUGCCCUACGGGUUGUAAACUUCUUUUAUAAAGGAAUAAAGUGAGGCACGUGAGCCUUUUUGUAUGUACUUUAUGAAUAAGGAUCGGCUAACUCCGUGCAAGCAGCCGCGGUAAUACGGAGGUUCAGUGCUUUAACCGGAUUUCUUGGGGUUAAAGGGUGCGGAGGCGGGGUAUCAAGUCAGCGGUAAAAUCGGGGAGCUCAACUCCAUCCAGCCGUUGAAACUGAUGAUCUUGAGUGGGCGAGAAGUAUGCGGAAUGCGUGGUGUAGCGGUGAAAUGCAUAGAUAUCACGCAGAAAUCCGAUUGCGAAGGCAGCAUACCGGCGCCCGACUGACGCUGAAGCACGAAAGCGUGGGUAUCGAACAGGAUUAGAUACCCCAGUAGUC